GACGAACGCUGGCGGCGUGCUUAACACACGCAAGUCGAACGGAAAGGCCCUGCUUUUGUGGGGUGCUCGAGUGGCGAACGGGUGAGUAACACGUGAGUAACCUGCCCUUGACUUUGGGAUAACUUCAGGAAACUGGGGCUAAUACCGGAUAGGAGCUCCUGCUGCAUGGUGGGGGUUGGAAAGUUUCGGCGGUUGGGGAUGGACUCGCGGCUUAUCAGCUUGUUGGUGGGGUAGUGGCUUACCAAGGCUUUGACGGGUAGCCGGCCUGAGAGGGUGACCGGCCACAUUGGGACUGAGAUACGGCCCAGACUCCUACGGGAGGCAGCAGUGGGGAAUAUUGCACAAUGGGCGGAAGCCUGAUGCAGCAACGCCGCGUGCGGGAUGACGGCCCUCGGGUUGUAAACCGCUUUCGCCUGUGACGAAGCGUGAGUGACGGUAAUGGGUAAAGAAGCACCGGCUAACUACGUG
rnacentral:rRNA from 1 species